UCUCCAAAGAGGCAAAAUAUUGCUGAUGCAUCUGCUAAUCAUUUCUCCUUUCCUUUCCCUACAAGCCUUCUCCCCCUAGUGACAGCCCUCUCUUCUGACUGAUGAGAUCCUGGCCUUGACCACCAGGCCAUUCCCAAUCCCAUUCCUUGUUCUCCACAAUUUUCUCCCUUCCAGCCCCUUGGUAUGGAUUGUCUCUCCUCUUCCCCAACUCCAUUAGGAUGGAAGCUCGUUGAAGUAUCUACGUGUUCCAUGAAAAUCGUGGUUAGGUUUUAUUCCCUCAAGACUGAGUCUGAAGUAUGGAAGAAGUGAAGAGCUGACAUUUUCUGCCUACCCUUCAGGACUCCACAAGCUACCUCUGGAAUGACCUGAACCCUUCUGAACCGUGUUCCUGUUUCUUGACAGAAUCUCUGAAUUCCUUCCUAAUUUCCCCCACACUCUAGCCAUGUCUUGUCCUGCUUUACAACUGGCCUUCUUCUUUCCUGGGGCUAAUCAAUCCAUUUUUGAACACUGUCACUAAACCUCUGACUCAGUAUAAAAUUAACAUCCCCAAAUUUCACAUUCCAGAUAAUAGUGCAGCGGGGUAGAUGUGCACAGCAAAUGAGUAUAAUAACAUUACAUUCCCUCCCUGGCAAGAGAGGUUGUGGGGAGGGGGAAGUGUUACAUGCUGAGGGUGUGCGAGGCCAUCAGAUACUGGGAAGGCUCCAACGGCAGCCAAGGGCUGGGGGAGAUGACAGUGAUGGCUAAUCUUGGACCAGCACUGGGAGGAGGGAGAGAGAUGUUAAAUUUGUCAACCAGAUUUCUUCUGAGACUCAAGUGCUGCUCAACUGAAAAGAAUUUAACAAGGCUCCAGGUAGGAGCAAAGGGCUAGGGAGAAGGCAAAAGAGAUUAAGAACAAGCAGGCUCCCUACCCACAGCUCCACACUCCCUCUCCUCUGUUAAAUGUGUCUGAUGACACUUGUACUACCACCGCCCAAAGCUGUUUCAAGAGUCAUGUUGCAGGAGAUAUCAUAGAAAGCCUGCUCCAGAAUCACAAAG